UCCACCCAGCCAAGGAUGUCUACACCAAUCCCCGGAUACGGUCCCAGUCCCAGGAAUUUGACUUUACAGAUGGCACAGUGUCCAAUCCGGGCUCACUUGUUUAUGCUUGAUUGUUUACAGCUGUUAUUUGGCAACAAUGGCUGUUAUUCCACACAAACACUCACUUAAACGAAUGAAGUAAAACUUAUGGGUGCAAUUGGCUAACAUCACACAGAAUAAUGUCUUUUGCUUAUAAUGAAACUUAUGAUAUGGAACAUUUGUUUUCUAUAUGUUUAUUUCCUGUCUGCACUUCUUCUGCAGUAAUUCAAAACUUCAGGAUUUGCUGCCUAUUAUGCUUUACACACCUCAAUGGUAGCGGUCCCUAUAAAUAUAACUUGUGCAAAAGUAGUUAAUUAUACAUUUUUGAGUAAAAAACCUCACUUAAUCCAGUGAAAUUUUGAA